rnacentral:rRNA from 1 species
CCUGAGGGUGCUAUACAUGCAGUCGAACGCGUUGGCCCAAUUGAUUGAUGGUGCUUGCACCUGAUUGAUUUUGGUCGCCAACGAGUGGCGGACGGGUGAGUAACACGUAGGUAACCUGCCCAGAAGCGGGGGACAACAUUUGGAAACAGAUGCUAAUACCGCAUAACAGCGUUGUUCGCAUGAACAACGCUUAAAAGAUGGCUUCUCGCUAUCACUUCUGGAUGGACCUGCGGUGCAUUAGCUUGUUGGUGGGGUAAUGGCCUACCAAGGCGAUGAUGCAUAGCCGAGUUGAGAGACUGAUCGGCCACAAUGGGACUGAGACACGGCCCAUACUCCUACGGGAGGCAGCAGUAGGGAAUCUUCCACAAUGGGCGCAAGCCUGAUGGAGCAACACCGCGUGAGUGAAGAAGGGUUUCGGCUCGUAAAGCUCUGUUGUUAAAGAAGAACACGUAUGAGAGUAACUGUUCAUACGUUGACGGUAUUUAACCAGAAAGUCACGGCUAACUACGUGCCAGCAGCCGCGGUAAUACGUAGGUGGCAAGCGUUAUCCGGAUUUAUUGGGCGUAAAGAGAGUGCAGGCGGUUUUCUAAGUCUGAUGUGAAAGCCUUCGGCUUAACCGGAGAAGUGCAUCGGAAACUGGAUAACUUGAGUGCAGAAGAGGGUAGUGGAACUCCAUGUGUAGCGGUGGAAUGCGUAGAUAUAUGGAAGAACACCAGUGGCGAAGGCGGCUACCUGGUCUGCAACUGACGCUGAGACUCGAAAGCAUGGGUAGCGAACAGGAUUAGAUACCCUGGUAGUCCAUGCCGUAAACGAUGAGUGCUAGGUGUUGGAGGGUUUCCGCCCUUCAGUGCCGGAGCUAACGCAUUAAGCACUCCGCCUGGGGAGUACGACCGCAAGGUUGAAACUCAAAGGAAUUGACGGGGGCCCGCACAAGCGGUGGAGCAUGUGGUUUAAUUCGAAGCUACGCGAAGAACCUUACCAGGUCUUGACAUCUUGCGCCAACCCUAGAGAUAGGGCGUUUCCUUCGGGAACGCAAUGACAGGUGGUGCAUGGUCGUCGUCAGCUCGUGUCGUGAGAUGUUGGGUUAAGUCCCGCAACGAGCGCAACCCUUGUUACUAGUUGCCAGCAUUAAGUUGGGCACUCUAGUGAGACUGCCGGUGACAAACCGGAGGAAGGUGGGGACGACGUCAGAUCAUCAUGCCCCUUAUGACCUGGGCUACACACGUGCUACAAUGGACGGUACAACGAGUCGCGAACUCGCGAGGGCAAGCAAAUCUCUUAAAACCGUUCUCAGUUCGGACUGCAGGCUGCAACUCGCCUGCACGAAGUCGGAAUCGCUAGUAAUCGCGGAUCAGCAUGCCGCGGUGAAUACGUUCCCGGGCCUUGUACACACCGCCCGUCACACCAUGAGAGUUUGUAACACCCAAAGUCGGUGGGGUAACCUUUUAGGAGCCAGCCGCUAAGUGACAGAUG